rnacentral:lncRNA from 1 species
GCACUGGGAAAGUGGCAUUAGGCGCGCUAAGGUUAAGAGCAAGGAUGUCUAUGCCCCACACCACUGGAGAAACUAUUCUGUUUAGCUGGUAUUGCGCCACCUGACAUCCACCGAGAAGUAGCAGCCAAUAAUGAAAGGACCAAGGCAGUGACAUCUUUGGCCCAUUCCCUAUUUGGAUAUCAGCCAGCACACCAAUGCCUUACAUCAAGAAAUAGUUUUAUAAGAUCUACAGAGAUACUCGCAGGAACACCUCAGCAAGCGAGAGUCCAGAAGUGGCAGACUAAAACCCGGAACCUCAAUCCGUGGCUGAUACUGAAUGAGAGACUUCCUCCUGGGCACACAGAAGACUGGGCGACUUGGAAAGCGCUGAACAGACUGCGCUCUGACACUACGAGAUGCAGAGCCAACCUCAAGAAAUGGGGCCACAAAGUGAGUCCACGACAUGUGAGUGUGGAGAAGAGCAAUCCACAGACCAUCUAUUACAAUGCAGUCUGAGCCUUGCCACAUGCACAAUGGAGGACCUUCUUACAGCAACACAGAGGCCCUCCAAGUGGUCAACUACUGGUCAAAGGACAUUUAGUAUAAUGUCAAGUUUUUAACUUUGUUUGUGUUUUUAAAUACAUUGCAGCUGUACCCUUGGUUCACUUUUGACACGAUAAAUUGCUGUUGAAAUUAUUUCGUUAUUAUUUUUCCCAGUGCUGUAAUCCCCCAAUGCUAUUUGAUCUUUGCCAUCAAAUAGUUAUACCGCAACAACAAUACACAUAUAAUAAUAUAAAAUAAUAACACAAAAAUAGCAACAACGAUAAGAGCAAAUAUGACUUCUAUUCUCAGUGUUACAGUGUUAUUCCAGUGCUGCUAUUACCGUGUUUCCCCGAAAAUAAGACAGUGUCUUAUAUUAUUUUUUACUCCCAAAGAUGCGCUAGGUCUUGUUUCAGGGGAUGUCUUAUUUUUCCAUGAAGAAGAAUUCACAUUUAUUGUUGAACAAAAAAUGAACAUUUAUUCUAUACUGUACAGUAGUUGUCAUCACAAACCAACAUAACCAAAUCAGACUAACUGUGACUUCUGUCAAGAAUUUCUUGUUACCAUUAUUUUCAUAUACAACUGGUAUGUACAUUUACCAAUCCUGCAUGCUAUGGUGUUUUGUUUGGUGGGUGCCGGGCAUGCUUCCAAACAAAAACUUUGCUAGGUCUUACUUUCGGGGGAGGCCUUAUAUUUAGCAAGUCAGCAAAACCUAUACUAGGUCUUAUUUUUUGGGGAUGUCUUAUUUUAGGGGAAACAGGGUAUUAUUGUUGCUGAUAUUGUUAUUAUUAUUAUCAUCAUCAUCACUAUAAUGACAGAGAACAAGCUCUUUGUCCUGGCUGAUCUGGCCAAAAAGGAUGCAAGUACAAGCAAUACGCUUCACUAAAGUACAAACAAGAAUUUAUAGAGAAAUACAUGACAUUUUAAAGAUGUCUGAGAGCUAUUCAGAUUUUCCACUCCCUCCCAACUGGCUGAAAAAGAGAGGCUAGAAUCUGCGCCCAAAUUAGUCAGGGAUUCCCUUGAUGUCAUAGUCUGCAGGAGGAGAUUCCCUUGGAGGAAGACUGCUAGUGGUUGGCCAGUUUGAAGAGCUCAGCUCAGGAGGAAAUGGUGAUGUGGGUAUGCUGAUGAGCCCUUGAUUAUCUCAAAUGUCCAGUUCUGUGUGAAACAAAGGGCACAAGAUCCAGUUCUGUGUGAAACAAAGGGCACAAGAUCCAAGAGACAAAUGUUAAUGUGUUCAUAUUUGUCGACCCUUUUCUGUGGGAGUGGCAGAUUCUUAGCAGUAAAUUGAAUGAAUAAACAUCCUGAGCUUAUUUUUUUGUUGACAAAGAGGAUCAUCUAUCUACAUACACACACAAAGAUCCUUAUAGUUAUCUGUCUUGGGAAAUAGCUGGAGGAAUCUUGGCCAUCAUCUUCUUUCCCAGAUAAUUAUGUAAACUAGGGGCACGGAAAAGUGGCUAUCUUCAAAAUACAUUUUCAUACAGUUUAUACACUUUUAUACUUUUAAAAAUAGACACAGUACAUAAAUGAUACAAGUUACACGUAAAUCAUCAAGUUGAUACAUUGUAUUAAAGGGUUAGAUUUAAUAGAGUGUGUAGAGUACAGCUGCUGCUGGGCCCAUUCUGGAACCUCUCUAGCGGCUUUGACAUUACACAAUUCUGGAGUCGUAUAAGAUAUUAAAUAAUAAAAUAUGCUUGGAGUCUCUUGAUGUUCUAUAAAUAUUUUUGGGGGGGGGGUGUUGUGGCCCAAUAACAGAAAUAAACCUCAAUGACACCUACUGACACAUGCAGUGAGAUUUUCAGUUUCUUCUGGGUUUUAAUUAUUCAUGAGCUUUUUCUAUAAUGUGGAGAAUCUCAAGCUAUGCCUUAGAGGUUUUUUGAAAAAAAGAAAAUAAUUCUUUACAUGAGAACCUUAUGAGAUUUUGCAUUUGGCAACCUGAUCAGUAAUAAGUCAGGUGUGAGAAAUUGGUCACAACUAUUCAUUAUCUGUAUGGUGUUAAAAUGAUUUAUAAUUAUUAUGGAAAAGUUGUCAAGAUAUUUUAUAGAUGAAACAUUAGACCAAAAAUAUUUUAUUUAAGGUGGUAUUUCCUUCAAUGAUGAAACAAAUACUAGAAUAAAUAAAUGCAGAAUUGGAUGGUUAAAAUACAUACAGUUUUAAAAGGGUAGAUUCAUCUGGAUAUUUUAGUUGUCAUCUUUUAUUAUGAGCUUUAUUGCUGUGAUGUUAUAAUUUAUAUGGAAGCAAGAAGUUUAUCUAAGCACUAGUUCCAUAUCAUUCUUUUCCCUUUCCUUUGUUGCAUUAUUUCAGGGGUCCUCAAACUUUUAAAGCAGAGGGCCAGUCCACAAUCCUUCAGACUGUGGAGGGGCUGAAUUAUUAUUUGGAAAAAAAAACCGGACAAAUUCCUAUGCACACUGCACAUGUCAUAUUUGUAGUGCAAAACAACAACAAUGAAAGAACAAUACAAUAUUUAAAAAUGAAAACAAUUGUAAACAGCAUAAACCUAUCAGGAUUUCAAUGAGAAGUGAUGGGCCUGCUUUUGGCCAAUGAGAUAGUCAAGUGAAUUAGGAUUGUUGAUGUUGUGUGUCUUCAAGUCAUUUCAGACUUUGGGUGAGCCUAAAAUUAUUUAUUCAUUUACUACAUUUAUUUAUUACAUUUAUAUCCCACCCUUCUCACCCUGAAGGGGACUCAGAGCAGCUGUAUGUACAUAUAAUAUAUUAUAUUAUUAGCAUAGCACAAUAUUAGCAUUAUAUAUUACUAUAUUGAACGAUACCACUAUACUGUAAUAUUAUAUGUAAUAUAUAACAUAUAAUUAAUAUUAUUAUAUGGUAUUAGUAUUCUAUUGUAUAACAUUAUAAUUUUAUUAUCAAUAUUAUAUCUAAAUACAAUAUAUUAUUUAAAUGAUAUAAAAAUAUCUAUACAGUAGAGUCUCACUUAUCCAAGCCUCGCUUAUCCAAGCCUCUGGAUAAUCCAAGCCAUUUUUGUAGUCAAUGUUUUCAAUAUAUCGUGAUAUUUUGGUGCUAAAUUCGUAAAUACAGUAAUUACAACAUAACAUUACUGUGUAUUGAACUGCUUGUUCUAUCAAAUUUGUUGUAAAACAUAAUGUUUUGGUGCUUAAUUUGUAAAAUCAUAACCUAAUUUGAUGUUUAAUAGGCUUUUCCUUAAUCCCUCCUUAUUGUCCAAGAUAUUCACUUAUCCAAGCUUCUGCUGGCCCGUUUAGCUUGGAUAAGUGAGACUCUACUGUAUAUAUAAAAGAGUGAUGGCAUCACGGCGAUCCACAAAACAACAAAACUACAGGCCCCCCAACCUCGAAAUUUGACAACACAACCCAUCAUCCACGGCUCUAGGUUGAUACAACAAAAAGAAAAGAAAAAUAAAGUCCUAAUUAGAGAGAGAGGAAUAAUUGCUUUUAUCCAAUUGCUGCCAGUUAGAAGGCUAAGCUCCUCCAACUUGAUCUCCUAGCAACCCAAUAAAAAAUAAUAAAAAACACUAAAAAAUAAUUUAAAACACUAAAAAAUUAAUACAUUAAAUACUAUAUUACCGGAAAUGA